CAAAGAUAAUAUAUAAACAUCAACUUCAUUUCAUAAUUGUGCAAUCUAAAAAUCCAAAACAUUACUAUAGUUCAAGACUAUAAAACUUAAAAUAUCUCAAAAUACAUAAUUAAUCCAAAUAGUAUCAAAUUCAUAUCAUAAAAUAUAUUAUUAAAGUCAUAUCAUGCUAAUCUAUAUGUGAAUCACCAGGGGAUCUUUGAGCUGGAGGCAUAUCAGAUGUUGAUGGCAUCAAUGAGGAAGACUGUUGUCCCAUCCUCGUGGCCUGUAGUUCAUCACGCAUUCGAGCUAUUAUCUGAUUUUGGUCUUCUACAAGUUUCUGCAAACUAUUAUACUUCUCUUCAAACUUUGCUUCAAUUUCCUUCUUCCAUUCUGGUGAUUGUGAUGAUGGAACAUUUGUUGUUUUUCCCACAGUUCCUGUUUGAGAGAAGGCAGAAGAUGCAGCACUACCUAAACCAUAAACUCGACUUCCUUACCAUCCUCCUGCUGCAGUAAUGAACAAUUGAUCCUCAUUAAUAGUUCCUCCAUCUCCUUCCACAUGAUCUGAUCCCACAUUCUGGCUUGAAUGUUGUUCUUUUAGCUUCAAAUAAUUUUCCUAGAAAAUCACAGAAUAACAGUUCAAUUUGAAUACUAAAGUAAGAAAUAAUGGUAAUACCUACAAGAUAUGACAAUUAUAAUACCUGCAAGAUAUCACAUUUACAAUACUUGCAAGAUAUCAUAAUAGAAAAAUCAAUCACACAACUGAGAAUCAUAAACAAUAUCCUUGUGAGAAUCACCUAGAUAUCAGAAUCAUACUUGCAACUGAAAAUCAAUCAACAACUCAAAAUCAAUCACACAACUGAGAAUCAUAAACAAUUUCCUUAUGAGAAUCACCUAGAUAUCAUAAUCAUACUUGGAACCGAAAUUCAAUCACACAACUCAAAAUCAAUCAACAACUCAAAAUCAAUCACACAACUGAGAAUCAUAAACAAUUUCCUGUUCAAAAUCACAUAGAUAUCAUAAUCAUACUUGCAACUGAAAAUCAAUUACACAACUCAAAAUCAAUCAACAACUCAAAAUCAAUCAACAACUCAAAAUCAAUAACACAACUAAAAGUCAAUCACAUAGACAUCAAAAUCAUACUUGCAAGAUAUUACUUAGAAAGACAACUUGUUUAUAUAGCAACUUACAUAAACAAGUUCAGCUCGUUUAUCAACAAAUUU
rnacentral:lncRNA from 1 species